UCCCGUCUGCCGAUGGGCCGAGGCGAGCCGGCUCUACUGGUAGCCGUCACUCAGCCGCACAUCAGACGGCGCGGCGCGGCGUCCAGCCACCUGUGUCUGUUUAAUGAUCCGUCUCUCUGGCCCUCUGCUCUUCCUCUGCUCCCACAGCCAGCCUACGGCGAGAUGGCGAGCGGCUGGCACGUUGACCGCUACAGCUGUAUUGAUGUCGCGGCGACGCAGGGACGCAGACGCCUGUCACAAGAAGUGGUGUGGCGUUAAAUCCCUUUUCGUGGGCGAGUGUUUGAGCUUCUGGUGAUUUUCCCGCCGCCUCCUUCCACGAACAAGCUCACCCUUCACAAGCCGGACUCUCUCUUCGCUGCCCUUUGGCUCUUCCCGUUCGGCCCGUCUCUCAAACAUCUCCCUGUGGUCUCUCGGAUGCUCAGUCUUUAUGAUUUGAUGUUCCGGGUGAGGAGAGCCAACACGAUGUGUGCGCCGAUGAUUUUUUUUCUCCAAAAAAUUCAGCCCCAUUUGGAUCCAGAGAGUAAUCGGUGUAUCCAUCUCUCACCUCCUUUUUUUAAAUCUUCACCCACCCACAUUCUCUCUUUGUCGCUGGACAUGUGAAACUGUCUAGCGGAGAGGAAAGUAGGGACACUUGAGGUAUUAGAAAGAUAAAACGAGCCGCAAAUAAAGGCAUCGACCCUCAUUGAGAAAUAGAAGGAAUCU